AACGAACGCUGGCGGCAUGCCUAACACAUGCAAGUCGAACGAGACCUUCGGGUCUAGUGGCGCACGGGUGCGUAACACGUGGGAAUUUGCCUCGGGGUAUGGAAUAACUCAGGGAAACUUGAGCUAAUACCAUAUAAUGUCUUCGGACCAAAGAUUUAUCGCCCUGAGAUAAGCCCGCGUAGGAUUAGCUAGUUGGUGGGGUAAAGGCUCACCAAGGCGACGAUCCUUAGCUGGUCUGAGAGGAUGAUCAGCCACACUGGGACUGAGACACGGCCCAGACUCCUACGGGAGGCAGCAGUGGGGAAUAUUGGACAAUGGGCGAAAGCCUGAUCCAGCAAUGCCGCGUGAGUGAUGAAGGCCUCGGUGUAAGACUCUUUACUCGGUACCGGAGUAAGUANACGGUACCGAGAGAAUAAGA
rnacentral:rRNA from 1 species